rnacentral:rRNA from 1 species
GAUGAACGCUGGCGGCGUGCCUAAUACAUGCAAGUCGAGCGAACAGACGAGGAGCUUGCUCCUCUGACGUUAGCGGCGGACGGGUGAGUAACACGUGGAUAACCUACCUAUAAGACUGGGAUAACUUCGGGAAACCGGAGCUAAUACCGGAUAAUAUAUUGAACCGCAUGGUUCAAUAGUGAAAGACGGUUUUGCUGUCACUUAUAGAUGGAUCCGCGCCGCAUUAGCUAGUUGGUAAGGUAACGGCUUACCAAGGCAACGAUGCGUAGCCGACCUGAGAGGGUGAUCGGCCACACUGGAACUGAGACACGGUCCAGUCUCCUACGGGAGGCAGCAGCAGGGAAUCUUCCGCAAAGGGCGAAAGCCUGACGGAGCAACGCCGCGUGAGUGAUGAAGGUCUUCGGAUCGUAAAACUCUGUUAUUAGGGAAGAACAAAUGUGUAAGUAACUAUGCACGUCUUGACGGUACCUAAUCAGAAAGCCACGGCUAACUACGUG